rnacentral:rRNA from 1 species
GACGAACGCUGGCGGCGUGCUUAACACAUGCAAGUCGAACGGAAAGGCCCUGCUUUUGUGGGGUGCUCGAGUGGCGAACGGGUGAGUAACACGUGAGUAACCUGCCCUUGACUUUGGGAUAACUUCAGGAAACUGGGGCUAAUACCGGAUAGGAGCUCCUGCUGCAUGGUGGGGGUUGGAAAGUUUCGGCGGUUGGGGAUGGACUCGCGGCUUAUCAGCUUGUUGGUGGGGUAGUGGCUUACCAAGGCUUUGACGGGUAGCCGGCCUGAGAGGGUGACCGGUCACAUUGGGACUGAGAUACGGCCCAGACUCCUACGGGAGGCAGCAGUGGGGAAUAUUGCACAAUGGGCGGAAGCCUGAUGCAGCAACGCCGCGUGCGGGAUGACGGCCUUCGGGUUGUAAACCGCUUUCGCCUGUGACGAGGCGUGAGUGACGGUAAUGGGUAAAGAAGCACCGGCUAACUACGUG